rnacentral:rRNA from 1 species
AUACGUAGGUGGCAAGCGUUGUCCGGAAUUAUUGGGCGUAAAGCGCAUGUAGGCGGUAAUUUAAGUCUGUCGUGAAACUGCGGGGCUCAGCCCCGUAUGGCGAUGGAAACUGGGUUACUUGAGUGCAGGAGAGGAAAGGGGAACUCCCAGUGUAGCGGUGAAAUGCGUAGAUAUUGGGAAGAACACCGGUGGCGAAGGCGCCUUUCUGGACUGUGUCUGACGCUGAGAUGCGAAAGCCAGGGUAGCGAACGGGAUUAGAUACCCCGGUAGUCCUGGCCGUAAACGAUGGGUACUAGGUGUGGGAGGUAUCGACCCCUUCCGUGCCGGAGUUAACGCAAUAAGUACCCCGCCUGGGGAGUACGGCCGCAAGGCUUAAACUCAAAUGAAUUGACGGG